UGAGGAAUAUUGCGCAAUGGGGGCAACCCUGACGCAGCGACGCCGCGUGAGUGAGGAAGGCCUUCGGGUCGUAAAGCUCUGUCAAAGGGAAAGAAAUGUAUAAUGGCUAAUACCUGUUAUAUUUGACGGUACCCUUAAAGGAAGCACCGGCUAACUCCGUGCCAGCAGCCGCGGUAAUACGGAGGGUGCAAGCGUUGUUCGGAAUUACUGGGCGUAAAGGGCGCGUAGGCGGUUUGAUAAGUCAGAUGUGAAAGCCCACGGCUUAACUGUGGAAGUGCAUUUGAUACUGUCAGACUUGAGUACCAGAGGGGAAAGUGGAAUUCCCGGUGUAGAGGUGAAAUUCGUAGAUAUCGGGAGGAAUACCGGUGGCGAGGGCGACUUUCUGGCUGGAUACUGACGCUGAGGCGCGAGAGCGUGGGGCGCAAACA
rnacentral:rRNA from 1 species